rnacentral:rRNA from 1 species
GUCCAGACUCCUACGGGAGGCAGCAGUGAGGAAUAUUGGUCAAUGGGCUUACGCCCGAACCAGCCAAGUCGCGUGAGGGAAGACUGCCCUAUGGGUUGUAAACCUCUUUUGUCGGGGAGCAAAGAGAGUCACGUGUGACUCAUUGAGAGUACCCGAAGAAAAAGCAUCGGCUAACUCCGUGCCAGCAGCCGCGGUAAUACGGAGGAUGCGAGCGUUAUCCGGAUUUAUUGGGUUUAAAGGGUGCGUAGGCGGAAUGCCAAGUCAGCGGUAAAAUCGCGGGGCUCAACCUCGCUCCGCCGUUGAAACUGGCAGUCUCGAGUUGGAGAGAAGUAUGCGGAAUGCGCGGUGUAGCGGUGAAAUGCAUAGAUAUCGCGCAGAACUCCGAUUGCGAAGGCAGCAUGCCGGCUCCACACUGACGCUGAGGCACGAAAGCGUGGGUAUCGAACAGGAUUAGAUACCCUGGUAC